rnacentral:rRNA from 1 species
CCCUUAGAUGUUCUGGGCGGCCCGCGCACUACAUUGGCACUGGCAACAAAAUCCUAGAUCUGAUAUUUCGGGGUAUUCUACCAACUGGUGUCGUGACUGGGAUUAACCCCUGCAAUUAUUGGUUAUGAACGAGGAAUUCCUUGUAAUCACGGUUUAUCAACCCGUGUUGAAUGCGUCCCUGCCCUUUGUACACACCGCCCGUCGCUCCUACCGAUGAAUCGUCCGGUGAAGUUCAUGGAGUCGCGGCUGCUCCAGCUGUUUUCGAAGUGAAAUGGACCUCAUGAUUUAGAGGAAGGAGAAGUCGUAACA